GAUGAACGCUGGCGGCGUGCCUAAUACAUGCAAGUCGAGCGAACGGACGAGAAGCUUGCUUCUCUGAUGUUAGCGGCGGACGGGUGAGUAACACGUGGAUAACCUACCUAUAAGACUGGGAUAACUUCGGGAAACCGGAGCUAAUACCGGAUAAUAUUUUGAACCGCAUGGUUCAAAAGUGAAAGACGGUCUUGCUGUCACUUAUAGAUGGAUCCGCGCUGCAUUAGCUAGUUGGUAAGGUAACGGCUUACCAAGGCAACGAUGGAUAGCCGACCUGAGAGGGUGAUCGGCCACACUGGAACUGAGACACGGUCCAGACUCCUACGGGAGGCAGCAGUAGGGAAUCUUCCGCAAAGGGCGAAAGCCUGACGGAGCAACGCCGCGUGAGUGAUGAAGGUCUUCGGAUCGUAAAACUCUGUUAUUAGGGAAGAACAUAUGUGUAAGUAACUGUGCACAUCUUGACGGUACCUAAUCAGAAAGCCACGGCUAACUACGUG
rnacentral:rRNA from 1 species